rnacentral:rRNA from 1 species
GCGGCGUGCUUAAUACAUGCAAGUCGUGCGAGAAAGUACCCUUCGGGGUGCGAGUACAGCGGCAAACGGUGUGAGUAACACGUAAGGAAUCUGGCUCCAAAUCCGGAAUAGCUCUGCCAACGCGGAAUUAAUGCCGGAUGUGGUUGUUUGGUCGCAUGACCUGACAACUAAAGGUGACCUCUUCGUUUGAAAGUUACCGUUUGGAGAUGACCUUGCGGCCCAUUAGCUUGUUGGCAGGGUAACGGCCCACCAUGGCUGCGAUGGGUAGCCGGUCUGAGAGGGUGAACGGCCACAUUGGGACUGAUAUACGGACCAGACUCCUACGGGAGGCAGCAGUAGGGAAUUUUGCGCAAUGGACGAAAGUCUGACGCAGAAACACCGAGUGAGCGAUGAAGGUUUUCGGAUCGUAAAGCUCUGUUGAGUGGGAAGAAACGUCUCGGGGUUAAUAUCUCCGAGGCCUGACGGUACCACUCGAGGAAGCUCCGGACAACUACGUGCCAGACAGCCGCGGUAAUACGUAGGGAGCGAGCGUU